rnacentral:tRNA from 1 species
CGGGUAUAGUUCAAUGGUAGAACGAGAGCUUCCCAAGCUUUUAAUGCGGGUUCGAUUCCCGUUGCCC